rfam:Eurypyga helias contig14165, whole genome shotgun sequence.
CCAAAGGCUCUUUUCAGAGCCACACACAUCUUCUCCAACAGAGCAG